rnacentral:snoRNA from 1 species
CAGAGGCUGUGACGACGAAAAAUACCUACCUAUUUUCUGAGGGAUUUCGAUCCCUCUGCAGAGAAACCAAUUCAAUCUUCUGAGCCUUGCA